CGAGCACGCGCGUGUGGCAUAUCAAUAAGCGGAGGAAAAGAAACUAACUAGGAUUCCCUUAGUAACGGCGAGUGAAGCGGGAAGAGCUCAAAUUUGAAAUCUUCAAGGUUCUACCUUGACGAAUUGUAGUUUAUAGAAGUGUUUUCUGUUAGUGGAGUGGCAAAAGUUCUUUGGAAUAGGACAUCAUAGAGGGUGAGAAUCCCGUAUUCGGUCAUUCCUCCUAGCGUUGUGAUACACUUUCAACGAGUCGGAUUGUUUGGGAAUGCAGUCCAAAAUGGGUGGUAAAUUUCAUCUAAAGCUAAAUAUUGGCGAGAGACCGAUAGCGAACAAGUACCGUGAGGGAAAGAUGAAAAGAACUUUGAAAAGGAGAGUUAAACAGUACGUGAAAUUGUCAAAAGGGAAGCGUUUGACACCAGUGUUGUUUUUUCCGAAAAUCAAUUACGAAUGUUUUAUUUUUGAGGAGUUAUGACUUCAUCGGCUUGCUCCUUUCUUUAUGAAACUUUCUUAAUGCACUUUUCGGUUAACAAGUCAACAUCAAUUUCUUUUGUUGUAAAAGGGUAUGAGGAAGGUGGCUUUCUUUUCGGAGAAAGUGUUUAUAGCCUUGUGCCUCUGCAAUCGGAGAGAUUGAGGUCUGCAGCGUAGAUCCUUCGGGGUUAGAUACGUUUGUGCUAAGUUAAAGCUUUUCAUAGACAACUUGUUGACUAUGUUUAGUCUUGUAGCUUACUCGCUGACGCUAUUUUACCUACGCUUAGGAUGUUGAACUCUAUCACACACAGA
rnacentral:rRNA from 1 species